GGAUUGCCCGAGCUUCUCUAUUUAGGUACAAAGCUAAAAGCCUAUUUUUCCUGGCUUAGUUUUUCUUUUAUUUCCUUUAUUGAGAUAGAUAGUGAUAGUUUGUAUUGUGACAUUUUCAUUUAGUAUAGUUCUAUAAAGGUUAUUUGUUUUCAUUAGUUAUUUCUUGGAUGUCUUUUAACUCUUUAACUAUUUAAAUAGUUUUAAAAUUAUUAUUAUAAGAGGGUAUAUUGUUUGGCAAAUUGCUUUUACCUGUUUGUUUUGUGCAUAUCUUAGGUCACAGACUAUCUCGCUAAGUUCCUGCAGGUCACGGACUAUGUCUUCUAUUUCUUUUGAUUCAUUGCCUAAGUUGCUAAGUACCUCUCACUUGCAUUUGUGGGUUAGCCUUAGUUCCAUUUGAAUCUCUGGGGCUACCUACAGUUUCCUGUAUAGGAUGCUUUUGAAUUUCCACAUGUUCUGUUUUCCUAAUUCCCUUAAGUUUGUAUAGUGAAUAAGAGCCAAUUUUUAAAAUAUACUUAGCAGAUCAUAUUUAAGAAGGAAGAUCUGCUGAAACACACCCCAGAUAUUAUUGAAUUACAUACUUUUUUGGAUUAUUUACAUGAAUGGGCCUUUCUCAUAGUGCAUAUAUUUGAGAGGUGCUGUGAUUCCAUGUUCACAAUUUCACUUGAGUACCACACAGAAACAGGGUUGCCCUUACCCCUGAGGUGCAUUUUUGGAGGAACAAGAAGUAGUUUAGUCAUUGAUGAACAGUUCUAAUUCCACCUAACUACUCCUGGGCCCAUGUUGCUCUCUGGGACCUGUCCUUCAACUUAAAUCUCAACUUAUCACCCAGAAAGUGAGUAAUAAAAAGUCAGGUAGGUAAGGUAUAUAUCUUACAUAUUCACUUGGCCAAGAUUGCAGAUAUUUUAGUUUUAUUUUUAAAAUGAAUGUUUGAGAUUACUAAAACAUAAUGCCACUUAAUACCAAUUUUUAUUAGAUUUUACAAAAUAUUUUAUGUGUUUAUAAUGUAAAACAUUUUGGAAAAUACUUUUUUUUCUAUAUUUCAAGAACUAAAAAAAAUUAUAUUCUGUGCUGUUUGAUUCUGACACAUAGAGGUUUACUGCAGUGUUAAACUUUUUUUUUUUUUAAAGUAAGGUUGCUCCCUUUUUAUGUUAUUAACCAGUGUGAGGGAGAGACAGCAUAUUAAAGGUGUAUUUUUUUCCUAAUAAUGUAGCCAUUGUAAAUCAUUAGAAGCCCAUUUUAAUUUUGUUAUUAUGAAAGUUAUUUAUCCCUUAGAGUUCAUUUGAAACCCUCAAUAUAAUUUGUUUUUGCCAAAAAUAUGCUGCUCAGUAGUGAGUCUUGAAAAUUCCUUUGAUUUUAAGAUUUCUAAUAAGAUCUGAGAAUUAAUAUUUUGUCAGUUGAUGUCUUAUAUUUUAUUUUUUAUAGGAGAGAUGAUAAUAAAGACAUUGACUCAGAGAAAGAAGCUGCCAUGGAAGCUGAAAUUAAAGCUGCCCGAGAAAGGGCCAUUGUCCCUCUGGAGGCUCGAAUGAAGCAGUUCAAGGACAUGCUGCUAGAGAGAGGGGUGUCUGCUUUUUCAACAUGGGAGAAGGAGUUGCACAAGAUAGUUUUUGAUCCCCGGUACUUACUUCUCAAUCCUAAAGAGAGAAAACAGGUGUUUGAUCAGUAUGUAAAGACCAGGGCAGAGGAAGAACGCAGGGAAAAGAAAAAUAAAAUAAUGCAAGCCAAGGAAGAUUUCAAAAAAAUGAUGGAAGAAGCAAAAUUUAAUCCAAGAGCAACUUUUAGUGAAUUUGCAGCCAAGCAUGCUAAAGAUACAAGAUUCAAAGCAAUUGAAAAGAUGAAAGACCGAGAAGCCUUGUUUAAUGAGUUUGUGGCCGCUGCUAGGAAGAAAGAGAAAGAAGAUUCGAAGACCAGAGGUGAGAAGAUUAAAUCGGAUUUCUUUGAACUAUUAUCUAAUCAUCACUUGGACAGUCAGUCUCGAUGGAGCAAAGUAAAAGACAAAGUAGAAAGUGAUCCACGUUACAAAGCAGUAGAUAGUUCAUCAAUGAGAGAAGACCUUUUCAAACAGUACAUUGAAAAAAUAGCCAAGAAUUUAGACUCAGAAAAAGAAAAGGAGCUUGAAAGGCAAGCCCGCAUUGAGGCAAGCCUUCGAGAACGAGAAAGGGAGGUUCAAAAGGCCCGUUCAGAACAAACAAAAGAAAUAGAUCGAGAGAGAGAGCAGCACAAACGAGAAGAAGCUAUCCAGAAUUUCAAAGCUCUUCUGUCUGACAUGGUACGUUCUUCAGAUGUGUCAUGGUCUGAUACUCGUAGGACCCUCCGAAAAGAUCACCGCUGGGAAUCUGGAUCCUUAUUGGAAAGAGAGGAGAAAGAGAAGCUUUUUAAUGAACACAUUGAAGCACUUACCAAAAAAAAGAGAGAGCACUUUAGGCAACUUCUGGAUGAAACUUCUGCAAUUACCUUAACAUCCACGUGGAAAGAAGUAAAAAAAAUCAUUAAGGAAGAUCCUCGGUGUAUUAAGUUCUCCUCCAGUGACAGGAAAAAACAAAGAGAAUUUGAAGAAUAUAUCAGAGACAAAUAUAUCACAGCCAAAGCUGACUUCAGGACGCUUUUGAAAGAGACCAAAUUUAUAACAUAUAGUUAAUUUAGUGAAAGAUGUGAAAGUGAAAGCUUGUGAAAGAUGCUGGGAUUGGCAGCCCCGCAGACUGAAGUCCUCUGUUCAUCCACAGAACAGAUCCAAAAAAUUAAUCCAAGAAUCGGAUCAGCACCUGAAAGAUGUAGAAAAAAUUUUACAGAAUGACAAACGGUAUCUAGUACUGGACUGUGUGCCAGAGGAGAGGCGUAAACUGAUUGUGGCAUAUGUUGAUGACCUGGAUCGCCGGGGUCCACCCCCACCUCCCACAGCAUCAGAGCCCACGAGACGAUCAACAAAAUAAUUCUAAAUACUCUUCCAUAGGGGUAUCUAUUCAAAAUGCUUGCAUGAGCCAAUUUUCAGAUUUUUACAUAUAUGUGCAUUAGUCAACCUAUUGCAAAACCAUCUGACAAACAGAAGGAGAAGCAUUUGUGAACAGUUUCUGAACAGAACACUUUGGAAAUAUUUAUGCUUUUCUUUGUGUGGCAUGACUGACAUACAUACUCAAAUAUAGGCUGUCUCUAGUAAAUCUUAAAAUCUUGAAGCUAAAAUUCAUCCUUUUAUGAGGUGUGGAAGUCAGUGACUUGGUGACGUUCUUCCUAGCAGUGUUAAUACAUGCAAGAAGUAAGAGCAUUUGUGGCUUGAACUUGCCAGAUGCAAAUACCACAGACUCCAAGAAAACCCGAGUUGGGGUUUGUUUUGUUUUGAUUUUUUUUUUUUUUAAAGCGGGUAAAAGAGAAAACACUGAAAAUUGAAUUCUUAUCUUCCAGAGGCUACAAUUAUUAUAAUGGACAAUACUUUUACCUUUGUCUCUAAAGGUCAGAUUAGUUUUAUUUGUUCACUUACGUGCUUUGAUUAUCCCCUCUGAAUUAUAGACCAAGUCUUGUUGUUUAGCCUAAGAGAAGAUUUAUGUAGUAAUUUCUUCUCAGGUAUGGAACCACGGUCAUAACUAACAUGUUGGCCAGAAUAGAACCACUGGUUAAACAUAUUUUAUUCACCAUUAAGUGAUCUAUAUCAAUAUUCUGGAUUAGACAACAAAUUACCUUUCUGGGUGUUUCUUGUAAACUAUACUCCUGUUUGAAUGUUAAACUUUGUUGCUAAAGUUUAAUUUUAAGAUGUUUGAAUGUUCAGUUUAUGUAUUUGAACCACAAUAAACCAACCCUUUUUAUAUA
rnacentral:sRNA from 1 species